rnacentral:rRNA from 1 species
CCUACGGGUGGCAGCGGUGAGGAAUAUUGGUCAAUGGACGAGAGUCUGAACCAGCCAAGUAGCGUGAAGGAUGCCUGCCCUGUGGGUUGUAAACUUCUUUUAUAUGGGAAUAAACUGUAACACGUGUGGGAGUUUGUAUGUACCAUAUGAAUAAGGAUCGGCUAACUCCGUGCCAGCAGCCGCGGUAAUACGGAGGAUCCGAGCGUUAUCUGGAUUUAUUGGGUUUAAAGGGAGCGUAGGUGGAUUGUUAAGUCAGUUGUGAAAGUUUGCGGCACAACCGUAAAAUUGCAGUUGAAACUGGCAGUCUUGAUUACAGUAGAGGUGGGCGGAAUGCGUGGGGUAGCGGUGAAAUGCUUAGAUAUCACGAAGAACUCCGAUUGCGAAGGCAGCUCACUGGACUGCAACUGACACUGAGGCUCGAAAGUGUGGGUAUCAAACAGGAUUAGAUACCCCUGUAGUC